AUACGUAGGUGGCAAGCGUUGUCCGGAUUUACUGGGUGUAAAGGGCGUGUAGGCGGAGAUGCAAGUCAGGAGUGAAAUCUAGGGGCUCAACCCCUAAACUGCUUUUGAAACUGUAUCCCUUGAGUAUCGGAGAGGCAGGCGGAAUUCCUAGUGUAGCGGUGAAAUGCGUAGAUAUUAGGAGGAACACCAGUGGCGAAGGCGGCCUGCUGGACGACAACUGACGCUGAGGCGCGAAAGCGUGGGGAGCAAACAGGAGUAGAUACCCUGGUAGUCCACGCUGUAAACGAUGAAUACUAGGUGUGGGGGGACUGACCCCCUCCGUGCCGCAGUUAACACAAUAAGUAUUCCACCUGGGGAGUACGAUCGCAAGAUUGAAACUCAAAUGAAUUGACGGGG
rnacentral:rRNA from 1 species